AUGAACGCUAGCGACAGGCCUAACACAUGCAAGUCAGGGGCAGCACAAGGAGCAAUCUGAGGUGGCGACCGGCGCACGGGUGAGUAACACGUAUGCAACCUGCCUGUAAGCGGGGAAUAACCCGUUGAAAGACGGACUAAUACCGCAUAAUACUAAAUUACUGCAUGGUAAUUUAUUUAAACAUUUAUGGCUUACAGAUGGGCAUGCGCAUGAUUAGCUAGUUGGAGAGGUAACGGCUCCCAAGGCAACGAUCAUUAGGGGUUCUGAGAGGAAGGUCCCCACACUGGUACUGAGACACGGACCAGACUCCUACGGGAGGCAGCAGUGAGGAAUAUUGGUCAAUGGACGAGAGUCUGAACCAGCCAAGUCGCGUGCAGGAAGAAUGUCCUUAAUGGAUUGUAAACUGCUUUUGCAGGGGAAUAAAGUGCAUCACGUGUGAUGUUUUGUAUGUACUCUGCGAAUAAGGAUCGGCUAACUCCGUGCCAGCAGCAGC
rnacentral:rRNA from 1 species